CCCAAAUAGCCAAAAAUAAUGAAAUCGAACUAUCGUGCUGCUUGAGGGCUGCUUUAGGAAAAAAAGUACCAGCGCCGAACUUUGAAGCUAGUUAAAAAGAGCGUGGAACUUGAUGGAACUAUGAAGCUUUUCUACCUUCACUUGGAACUCGAUGGAACUAUGAGGCUUAUUUAUAAACCAUGCAUAGUGUUCAUCCGAACUAUGCGGCUUAUUAAGAAGCAUACGGAUUAUGUCAAUAGAACAUUGCUAUCUGCCAUUAAGCGUCAUUAGAAGAAAAAAUCAUUGUGUGGAAAGAUGUAUUCCAAGCGUGUGAAAAAAUCGGGAAACUUGUAGAGAAGGCGUGCUAAAAUUAUGCGUGAGUUGUUUGAGAACGGAGACGACUGCGAAAUAAUCGAUAAUAGAGAAUCAACAAACUUUGAUCAUGCGGUUGAACAAAUAUCCGACAGUUCCAGUUCAGAAGAUGAUGAGUGUGGGAUCCUGAGUAUGAAUGUAGUGGUGUGAGUGCGGAACGGCAAUGGAUGAGAGGCCGCCAGUCUUAGUUGAAUGCUGAAUAAAGGAGGCUGUGUUGCGUGAACUGGUAAA